rnacentral:rRNA from 1 species
AUUGCACAAUGGGCGAAAGCCUGAUGCAGCGACGCCGCGUGAGGGAUGACGGCCUUCGGGUUGUAAACCUCUUUCAGCAGGGAAGAAGCGAGAGUGACGGUACCUGCAGAAGAAGCGCCGGCUAACUACGUGCCAGCAGCCGCGGUAAUACGUAGGGCGCAAGCGUUGUCCGGAAUUAUUGGGCGUAAAGAGCUCGUAGGCGGCUUGUCGCGUCGGAUGUGAAAGCCCGGGGCUUAACCCCGGGUCUGCAUUCGAUACGGGCAGGCUAGAGUUCGGUAGGGGAGAUCGGAAUUCCUGGUGUAGCGGUGAAAUGCGCAGAUAUCAGGAGGAACACCGGUGGCGAAGGCGGAUCUCUGGGCCGAUACUGACGCUGAGGAGCGAAAGCGUGGGGAGCGAACAGGAUUAGAUACCCUGGUAGUCCACGCCGUAAACGUUGGGAACUAGGUGUGGGCGACAUUCCACGUCGUCCGCGCCGCAGCUAACGCAUUAAGUUCCCCGCCUGGGGAGUACGGCCGCAAGGCUAAAACUCAAAGGAAUUGACGGGGGCCCGCACAAGCGGCGGAGCAUGUGGCUUAAUUCG